CAGCUCUCCGAGUGGUAGGGAUGAUUAUUGGGCUUAAAGCGUCCGUAGCCGGCUUAGCAAGUCUCCUGUUAAAUUCAGCGACCUAAUCGUUGAGCCGCGGGAGAUACUACUAGGCUAGGAGGCGGGAGAGGCCGACGGUACUUCCGGGGUAGGGGUGAAAUCCUAUAAUCCCGGGCGGACCACCAGUGGCGAAGGCUGUCGGCUAGAACGCGCUCGACGGUGAGGGACGAAAGCUGGGGGAGCGAACCGGAUUAGAGACCCGUGUAGUCC
rnacentral:rRNA from 1 species